UACGUAGGUGGCAAGCGUUGUCCGGAUUUACUGGGUGUAAAGGGCGUGUAGCCGGGUUGACAAGUCAGAUGUGAAAUCCUGCGGCUUAACCGCAGAACUGCAUUUGAAACUGUUGAUCUUGAGUACUGGAGAGGCAGACGGAAUUCCUAGUGUAGCGGUGAAAUGCGUAGAUAUUAGGAGGAACACCAGUGGCGAAGGCGGUCUGCUGGACAGCAACUGACGGUGAGGCGUGAAAGCGUGGGGAGCAAACAGG
rnacentral:rRNA from 1 species